rnacentral:rRNA from 1 species
GACGAGGGAUCCUAGCGUUGCUCGGAAUUAUUGGGCGUAAAGCGGGUGUAGGUGGCUUGGUAAGUCAGAUGUGAAAGCCCUGGGCUUAACCCAGGAAGUGCAUUUGAUACUGCUAAGCUUGAGUGCGAGAGAGGUUAAUAGAAUACCUGGUGUAGUGGUGAAAUACGUAGAUAUCAGGUGGAACACCGGAGGCGAAGGCGGUUAACUGGCUCGACACUGACACUGAGACCCGAAAGUGCGGGGAGUCAAACAGGA